AUAUUUGCAACUUGGGUGAAAAUUGUUGAAACGAAGAAAAAGAAAAAAUAAAAAAUAUAUCAAAAUACAGGUACAGUGAAAAAAUUCAAAUUUUGUAAUAAUGAAGUUGCGGAAAUUUCAAAUUUUGUGAUAAGAAAAUUUAGGAUAUUUGUGGUAUUCUGUCAAAAUCUCAUGCAGAUUGUUCAUAGGGAAAUAAAGUUACAGCAUGCUGUAGUUGAUCAUUUUGUAUGGAAAUCGGCUUUCACUACUAUCAUUCUGAACACAACUGUAAGAUCUUAUGAGUCAAUUCUGUACGGUUCGAUGUCUCUACCCCAAGAGUCGCGAGUUCGCUUUCACCUGAUCCAACCCUGGUCCAGUUGAAUAUACACCGCAGCAUUUGUUUUGCUGGCAACGCAAUCGCGUACUAUUUAUGAAAACACAUGUUAAAAUAAUUACCGCAGAUAAAUCAACCGAUUGUUGUUUAACGGAUCAACGGCGGAGGGCAACAGAAAAGAAAAACGGUAUUUUAUUCCACUGGCGACACGAUAACCAAUUAUUUAUCGAAGGGAGAUUUGCGCGCGCGCAGACUUGGAUUUUAUUGUGGUUCCUCGUUCUCUUCGGCGGCUGAUGCGCAAAUAGGGCUCCAUUGUUUCUGAAGCGCGGCGCAAAAGCCUAGGCAAUUUAUUUGCCCACCGAAACAAUAGUUUAAUUUAGCAGGGGACAUGCUGCGACUGGCGCGCCAGACUUCGAAACUGUUGAAAGCUCGCAGUCUUUGUAGCUAAAUCACAACAUAUUGAACAGCGCCUUUCGGAUGACCAUUAGGAAGACUAAUUUGGAAUGACAUUUCAGAAGGUGAUGGGAGCGUGGUCGCCAGCUCAAACAACAUUACGCUCUUGUUAUUAGCCAUGUGCCUUACACAUUGCAUAUUACUAGUUCGAUCAACGAUAAACUUAGGGACGAAAAGAUUUAUGUUAUCCAUACUCAAUUCUUUGACAUUUAUACCAUCAUCAAAGUAACUGCACCACCACCAA